AUGUACCACUCGUACACCCCGGUUCCUGCGCGCUGGCCACGCCCACCCGACGACUGCUCGCCACGUGUUGUCGGCC
rnacentral:sRNA from 2 species